UGCGCAGUAGGUACCUGGUGU
rnacentral:miRNA from 1 species